rnacentral:rRNA from 1 species
UGGGGAAUAUUGCACAAUGGGCGCAAGCCUGAUGCAGCCAUGCCGCGUGUAUGAAGAAGGCCUUCGGGUUGUAAAGUACUUUCAGUCGGGAGGAAGGUGGUAAGGUUAAUAACCUUAUCAAUUGACGUUACCGACAGAAGAAGCACCGGCUAACUCCGUGCCAGCAGCCGCGGUAAUACGGAGGGUGCAAGCGUUAAUCGGAAUUACUGGGCGUAAAGCGCACGCAGGCGGUUGAUUGAGUCAGAUGUGAAAUCCCCGGGCUUAACCCGGGAAUUGCAUCUGAUACUGGUCAGCUAGAGUCUUGUAGAGGGGGGUAGAAUUCCAUGUGUAGCGGUGCAAUGCGUAGAGAUGUGGAGGAAUACCGGUGGCGAAGGCGGCCCCCUGGACAAAGACUGACGCUCAGGUGCGAAAGCGUGGGGAGCAAACAGG